UACGUAGGCAGCGAGCGUUGUUCGGAGUUACUGGGCGUAAAGGGUGUGUAGGCGGUUCUUUAAGUUUGGUGUGAAAUCUCCCGGCUCAACUGGGAGGGUGCGCCGAAUACUGAGGGACUAGAGUGCGGGAGAGGAAAGUGGAAUUCCUGGUGUAGCGGUGAAAUGCGUAGAUAUCAGGAGGAACACCGGUGGUGUAGACGGCUUUCUGGACCGUAACUGACGCUCAAACGCGAAAGCUAGGGGAGCGAACGGG
rnacentral:rRNA from 1 species